CAGCAGCCGCGGUAAUACGAAGGGGGCUAGCGUUGCUCGGAAUUACUGGGCGUAAGGGGCGCGUAGGCGGACAGUUAAGUUGGGGGUGAAAGCCCGGGGCUCAACCUCGGAAUUGCCUUCAAUACUGGCUGUCUUGAGUACGGGAGAGGUGCGUGGAACUCCGAGUGUAGAGGUGAAAUUCGUAGAUAUUCGGAAGAACACCAGUGGCGAAGGCGACUCACUGGCCCGUUACUGACGCUGAGGCGCGAAAGCGUGGGGAGCAAACAGGAUUAGAUACCCUGGUAGUCCACGCCGUAAACGAUGAGUGCUAGUUGUCGGCAUGCAUGCAUGUCGGUGACGCAGCUAACGCAUUAAGCACUCCGCCUGGGGAGUACGGUCGCAAGAUUAAAACUCAAAUAAAUUGACGG
rnacentral:rRNA from 1 species